UGAGGAAUAUUGGUCAAUGGACGGAAGUCUGAACCAGCCAAGUAGCGUGCAGGAUGACGGCCCUAUGGGUUGUAAACUGCUUUUGUAUGGGGAUAAAGUUAGGGACGUGUCCCUAUUUGCAGGUACCAUACGAAUAAGGACCGGCUAAUUCCGUGCCAGCAGCCGCGGUAAUACGGAAGGUUCAGGCGUUAUCCGGAUUUAUUGGGUUUAAAGGGAGCGUAGGCUGGAGAUUAAGUGUGUUGUGAAAUGUAGACGCUCAACGUCUGACUUGCAGCGCAUACUGGUUUCCUUGAGUACGCACAACGUUGGCGGAAUUCGUCGUGUAGCGGUGAAAUGCUUAGAUAUGACGAAGAACUCCGAUUGCGAAGGCAGCUGACGGGAGCGCAACUGACGCUUAAGCUCGAAGGUGCGGGUAUCAAACAGGAUUAGAUACCCUGGUAGUCCGCACAGUAAACGAUGGAUGCCCGCUGUUGGUACCUGGUAUCAGCGGCUAAGCGAAAGCAUUAAGCAUCCCACCUGGGGAGUACGCCGGCAACGGUG
rnacentral:rRNA from 1 species